rnacentral:rRNA from 1 species
GACGAACGCUGGCGGCGCGCCUAACACAUGCAAGUCGAACGGAGUCAAGAGGAGCUUGCUUUUCUUGACUUAGUGGCGAACGGGUGAGUAACGCGUGAGUAACCUGCCCUGGAGUGGGGGACAACAGUUGGAAACGACUGCUAAUACCGCAUAAGCCCACGGAUCUGCAUGGAUCUGUGGGAAAAGGAUUUAUUCGCUCUAGGAUGGACUCGCGUCCAAUUAGCUAGUUGGUGAGGUAACGGCCCACCAAGGCGACGAUUGGUAGCCGGACUGAGAGGUUGAACGGCCACAUUGGGACUGAGACACGGCCCAGACUCCUACGGGAGGCAGCAGUGGGGGAUAUUGCACAAUGGGGGAAACCCUGAUGCAGCGACGCCGCGUGGAGGAAGAAGGUUUUCGGAUUGUAAACUCCUGUCGUUAGGGACGAUAAUGACGGUACCUAACAAGAAAGCACCGGCUAACUACGUG